rnacentral:rRNA from 1 species
CCUACGGGUGGCAGCAGUGGGGAAGAUUGCACAAUGGGGGAAACCCUGAUGCAGCGACGCCGCGUGAGUGAAGAAGUAUUUCGGUAUGUAAAGCGCUAUCAGCAGGGAAGAAAAUGACGGUACCUGAGUAAGAAGCACCGGCUAACUACGUGCCAGCAGCCGCGGUAAGACGUAGGGGGCAAGCGUUAUCCGGAUUUACUGGGUGUAAAGGGAGCGUAGACGGUGAUGCAAGUCAGAAGUGAAAGCCCGGGGCUCAACUCCGGGACUGCUUUUGAAACUGUGUGACUGGAGUGCAGGAGAGGUAAGCGGAAUUCCUGGUGUAGCGGUGCAAUGCGUAGAUAUCAGGAGGACCACCAGUGGCGAAGGCGGCUUACUGGACUGUACCUGACGUUGAGGCUCGAACGCGUGGGGAGCAAACAGGAUUAGAUACCCCGGUAGUC